AGAUUGAACGCUGGCGGCAGGCCUAACACAUGCAAGUCGAGCGGUAGCACGGGUACUUGUACCUGGUGGCGAGCGGCGGACGGGUGAGUAAUGCCUAGGAAUCUGCCUGGUAGUGGGGGAUAACGCUCGGAAACGGACGCUAAUACCGCAUACGUCCUACGGGAAGAAAGCAAGGGGACCGUUCGGCCUUGACGCCUAUCAGUAGUGAGCCUAGGUCGGAUUAGCUAGUUGGUGAGGUAAUGGCUCACCAAGGCGACGAUCCGUAACUGGUCUGAGAGGAUGAUCAGUCACACGUGACUGAGACGACGGUCCAGACGUCGUACGGAGCAGCGAGUGGGAAUAUAGGACAAGUGGGACGAAA
rnacentral:rRNA from 1 species